rnacentral:rRNA from 1 species
AACGAACGCUGGCGGCAUGCCUAACACAUGCAAGUCGAACGAGACCUUCGGGUCUAGUGGCGCACGGGUGCGUAACGCGUGGGAACCUGCCCUUAGGUUCGGAAUAACUCCCCGAAAGGGGUGCUAAUACCGGAUAAUGUCUUCGGACCAAAGAUUUAUCGCCUUUGGAUGGGCCCGCGUUGGAUUAGCUAGUUGGUAGGGUAAAAGCCUACCAAGGCGACGAUCCAUAGCUGGUCUGAGAGGAUGAUCAGCCACACUGGGACUGAGACACGGCCCAGACUCCUACGGGAGGCAGCAGUGGGGAAUAUUGGACGAUGGGCGAAAGCCUGAUCCAGCAAUGCCGCGUGAGUGAUGAAGGCCUUAGGGUUGUAAAGCUCUUUUACCCGGGAUGAUAAUGACAGUACCGGGAGAAUAAGUUCCGGCUAACUCCGUG